rnacentral:rRNA from 1 species
AGCGUAGGUGGCCUAACAUGUCAACUGUGAAAACCCGGAGCUCAACUCCGGACUUGCAGUUGAAACUGGUAGGCUUGAGGACGGUAGAGGAAGACGGAACUGCCAGUGUAGGGGUAAAAUCCUUAGAUAUUGGCAGGAACGCCGGUGACGAAGGUGGUUUUCUGGGCCGGUUCUGACACUGGUGCUCGAAAGCCAGGGGAGCGAACG